GCACGCUGAGGUGUCUGGAAUCAUAAAAUCAUAGAAUCAUUACAGAAUAGGCCUCACUCAGGCUGUUAGUCUGAAUCUCUGCAGAGCUACACGGUUUCAUACAAUCAAGCAUCCCAUCUGCUAUUGUUAUUAAAGGGCUCUCAGUCUGACAAAGGGGAGAGGCCCGUGCCGUAGCACGUUCAAGUCUCAUCCCACACUCUUGACAUCGCUUUGGCCCCUCCCGGUUACGUUACCACUGGAGCAUCCAGAAAUUCACAAGCGAGCAGCUCCGUGCCAGGAUCUCCACCAAGUGCAGGGCAUUGUGUACUUGGCUCACCCACCGCCUGCAGUGCCAGGUCCUGAGGCAAGAGGCAGGUUGUGCUCCAGACACCAGCAGCAAGGCACCUCCAUGCUCUCCUGGGAGCUCUCCUAGCACAUGACACGGAGCCUCACCAGCUUGGCCAGAAAAAAAAAAAUAUAAUAAUUAGGCAAGGAAACUGGGAUAAGUGGAGCUGUAGCUAGCAAGCAACCCCAUGUAACUCCCCUGAAGCUAUAAAAAGACAAGAAAGAUUAAUAGUUGUAUGACUCAGCAUUACAGGGUUUUUUGAGUCACAGGAUCAGAGGCAACACUAGGAAACCAUGUGCUGGAGAAGGAAAGAGACAGAAUAACGCAAUACAAAGUAAUGUAAAUGGAAUUUGUAUUCCAGAGUUCUCUGGCCUGAAAAAUGGAAACCCCUUUUUUUACCAUUUUGGCUAUAAUCUUUGUGGAGAAAGAAAGAAAGAAAAAGAAAGAAAGAAAGAAAGAAAGAAAGAAAGAAAGAAAGAAAGAAAGAAAGAAAGAAAGAAAGAAAGAAAGGAAGGAAGAAAAAGAAAAAGAAAGAAAGAAAGAAAGAAUUGUCUCUUCAAUAGAGAACCACCAGUUAUUGUCAGCAAUGUUUUGUUAGGCUGUCCUAUAUUUCUGGGCUCUCUCUGUUCCUGCUUCAACUUGUCCUCUUCUGAUGAUCACUGGGAAUUAGCCGUGUUGUUUAAGAUCUGAUGUUGCAACCAGAACAUGAGUGAUUCAUUUAUGAAAAAAGUUGAUGAGAUUCAGGCUUCUAAUGGUAUUUCCAUUAACCAAGAAUUGAAGUACUCUUAACAGGCCAGGACUUGAGUAAAGAUAAACACAGAUACUCAAAGUGAACACAAAUACUUUAAACACAGAAAAGAAUUAGAACUUGUGUCCCAUGCUACUUACCCAGAAGACCUUCUGAUGUGGAUUUAUGGCUGUGGUCACAAUACUUUCUUCUCUGUUUUUUCUCAAAAGAAAGAUUUUUCAAGAACUAAAUGAAUUAAAAUCAUAGGGAGUGUUGAAAUGAAAAUAUUGUCCAUACAUCUAGAUGCAAAUACAUCUUAUAUAGUAUCUGAUAGUUCUUACAGAGGUCUGAUCUAAUUCCAUCAGAUUAGGUUAUCUGAUGUUUAGUUUGUCUUGAGUUUGGAUCUCCAGGGUAGAUUCUGGGCUCCAAAUAACAUAAUUAGCUUGCAAAAGAGCACCAGCUUCUCAGCAGUUCACUGUCAUUUUCUGAAAUGUGUUUCCUGAGAGUCUUAUGAAGAUCUUUGACUCCCAAUAAAUUCAAAGCUGUGUGUCAGUUGCCAAAUAUAUUGUAAAAAGAUGGGAAUUUCAUGCAUCAGUCUUUUUGAGAGUAAUCUACUUCUACAAUUUCUUGACUCUUAUCUCAGUAUUUCUAACAUUUUUGGUCCAACAGAAUAAAGAUCAUAUUUUAUUCUGGUUGCUAAAUUUUGGCUAUAUAUUAUUAGACAGUUCAGUAGUAAUUUGACAUGCUUGUAACCAGAACAUGGGCCAAAAUGAGUAAUGUUUUGUCAUCAGAGAAUUUCUGCUGCUUCAGAAGAAGUGAUCUCACCUUCAUAGUUAGCAAUGAUCUUAUAUCUUAUGUCUUCAGACAAAACUUGGUCUCUUCUGGUCACGCUAAAGGAGUGGCACAUUUACUAUUUGCUCCUUAAGCAGAAUCUCAGUUGCCCUGGCUUUCUCUUUUGCUGCAUAAUAAAGAAGGACUGCAUUCAAA